rnacentral:rRNA from 1 species
GGGUCAGUAGGUUGGUCGUGCCACCGGUACGUACUGGUCUCACUGAUUCCUCCUUCCUGAAGAACCGUAAUGCCAUUAAUUUGGUGUUGCGGGGAAACAGGACUGUUACUUUGAAAAAAUUAGAGUGUUUAAAGCAAGCUAACGCUUGAAUACAUUAGCAUGGAAUAAUGAAAUAGGACGAUCGAUCCUAUUUUGUUGGUUUCUAGGAUUGACGUAAUUAUUAAUAGGGAGAGUUGGG